CCGGCAUCGCCGCAACAUCUUACCGCGCAUCGUCAGAUCUCGUCGUGGCGAGGGGGCCGUGCCCCCACCGCCCACAGCAGCAGCUAUUAGGCUUUUAAUAAAAAGCCGAGGGCCCAGCCAGCUUGCUGGAGACAGUGGGGGAUCGCAGCGUCUCUGGACGGUUCUGCAGAGCACCUGGCUAGAUGAGCACAGUACCUAAAAAUGCAAAUCUAACAGGCUUUUAAUAAUAGACUCAAUAUUCUUUCUCUACAGGACAGAAACUACCGAUGACCGGCCUUUACUGCAGAAAUGCAGUAUUCCAGCAAUGUGCUGAAACAGGUAAAAUUCAGGCAAGUAAAUUCUCAGUUCGGACACAAUUCCUGUCCCCGGCGUAGUCCUACAGAUUUUGUAUCCUGAAAAAAACCCAGGCAAACUUUGUGUACUUUCUGCACCUCGCCUACGCAGCAAGGACAGUCCUGGUUUCUGAUAAAGAAAAGUGACAGAAUCUUAUCCCAAGGUCCUUGCGAAACAAGGAGAAAGAUGGAUUGGGAAUCAAUACGGCGACAAGACGCCGUGCCCAGUGGGCGGCUGAUGCUGUAGAAGCAGUGCCCCGUUCUGGCGACGGGCAGCACGGCAUCCAACGCGGCGACCUGCGUGGCACCUCCUCGGCUGGCUUUCGGUGGGGUUUUCCACGCGCCUGGAGCUUGCAAAACAUCACAGAAUUUCCCGCAAAGCACGCUUUAAAAGAGAAAAAACCGAGUUGUGUCACUUGCUCUUUUUUUUUGUUUGCUCUUGCAAUAGAAACCAGCACAGCGUUAAUCAUUUCAGUAGCCGCCUCAGCCGCAGCACUUGGACAAAGAUUGUCUGUUACCAGUUGACUGGGAUUCGCGUGGAAAUGCUAGAGAGGACUUGCGUUACCUCUGUCUCCUGCCACUGCACCACACGCGCGUGCACGUGCAAGGCGCGGCGCCCAGUGACUGCAAUCACAUCCUGCGGCUCCAUAAACCUCCUCGCCAGCACGGGCAGGUCUGCGCAUCGGGUCCAGCGCUGCCAAAUGGAAUCACUUUCAUUGGUUCUUGCACUUCCAACAUGCUUGAAUCAGAGCUGCUCUUUGGUUACGUGUGGCACGAGGGACGUGAAUCACCUCUGUGCUCAGCCACAGGCAGCGUGGUGCUACAGAGAUUAAUUCUCAAUCCGGUCCGUGAGAGAGGUACCCAAAGACUGACGUCCCGCCUGCCUGGCCCCGGGGGACAGACACCUGCCCAACACGUCGUCCCAAGAGCAGGGCAGCUCCGCUCCUAGCGCGCUCCACCAGCCAGGAACGAAGCUCCGGUGUAGAAUUUAAAUAACCUUCCGGCCCGGAGGUGAGAGUGCUGCCAGCAGAGCCCAGGUACCGCCGCACCAGAACUCACGUUUCUUGAGACAGACACCAUGGACGUGACGCAUCGCAGGGUGCAGCGGGCGAGGCCAAUACCGACCUGUACAGCAGCGUGCAAAGGAAUCCAUCACCCUGCCCGUCUCUUGCGUGUAAAGGCGUAACGUUCAUCCUCGUCUUCGGCAGCCUGACGACUUCACUACGCACAGAACCGUUCACGAGCACGAGCAUAACGAGUGUGUUAACUUAUUCAGCGCCGAUAUCAUCUGGUUUAAGUUAGGAAUAAAGACACGCACCUAAAGCAAAGCGGAAGCAUCUGACAAAUUUAUGUAUCGCAUCACGGGUGUUUCUUUUCAGAACAAGUUAUU